GUACAUAGACAGAGAGAGACAGCCGGAUAUUUCAUUCAAUGCAAAUUACAUUUAAAAAAAAUAUUUAGUACCGAAAUGCAUACAUAUAACACAUUUUUUAUUGAACAAUACUGUCAUUAUUCUUUAAUUCCCUCCUUAGAGAAAAAGGCCUGAGGAAGGAUCUAUGGUAAACCCACACCGCCAUCGGUCUCUAAAUCAUCAUCGUCAAGAUGUGACCGGUUCAGACAUUGUCUCUUCCCCGCAUGAUAUCCCGCUCCAUCCAGGUUUCGUAUGUUUUCUUUUCUAGGAUAGAUCAACCAUCUUGCCAUUAGUCCCAGGUUCUGUCUUAAUGAUAGAAGGACCCAUUGUUCACGAUGUCGUAAAAGAUUUUCCACUCGUUUCGUCAUGUCAAGGUCUUUAUGAUAAUCCCCCCGCCUGAAGCUAAAGACAAGCACAAAAUAGUUGACCUCUGUGCAGGCUUUUGAAAGUACAUAUGAACUAACUGAUUUGAACUAUUGAAUUCGGCACAACCUAAAAUUGUCACUUUGGAGUCUGGACUAUAUGCCACUGAAGAGAUUCUUAUGGCUUUCAAAUCAUCUCCCCUGUAGACUUCCUCUUCCAAUGCAUACCCCGGGAGGGUUGUCCCACUCAGGGCCUGUUCGAUCUGACAUAGAGCAAGUCUUAUCUUAAGCCAUUCUCUUAUCCGCAACGCAAGAGAAAAACUCCCUGAAAAAGGGUGCUGAGGCAGCUGUUUGUGAAAAUCUUCACCGUUGAAACGUUCGGUUGGAAAAUGUAACCCAUAUGUCCAUCACUCAUAUCAUGCACACCAUUAAAACAAUCAGAGGCAUCACAAAGAAUGGCUUCGAUGGUUUUGUCAUUGUGUUCAUGACACGAAGGACACAAUACACCGACAAUUGGUCUAGGAGCCAUGUUUUAUAUAUUUCUUCUUUAGAGUCUUCUGUGGUUUAGCUCUCGAGGUUUCUUGGCGCUCGUUGUGUUCAUAGAUCUUACUUAUACUCUGGCUGACCUACCCCAGAAAUUACUGUUUCAUAUACAAGAUCCCGAAACAGCAGAGCCAUAAAUUCACUACAACAUUGCCCUACUCUUUCAAAUGUUCAAACAUUCCACAGUUCAACAAGGUCACUACACAUCAAUCACCAUGACAGCUUUAGUUUAAACACAUGCUUCACUUCAAAGGAACAGCUGCACUAUCAGGUUACAUAAACACUCACUCGAUAGCGUGAGAACAUCCAGACAGGAUGUACAUAUAUGGGCAUAACCACGUGACGCAUAAAAUACGUCAUCAAUCACUUUUUAAUACAUGCCGAAUACUGUAUUCUCUCUCUCCCCCCCAUGGCUCUCUGAAGAACAAAAUAGCCCUGUGCCCUCUGAAGAACUGAAGCCCCUGGUCCUCUGCCCUCUGAAGAACAGGACAGCCCUGUGCCCCUCUGAAGAACAGGACAGCCAUGUGCCCCUCUGGAGUACUAAACAGCCCUGUGCACCUCUGAAGGGCUCUGACCACUACAAGGUAAUUCAGCGUUUGCUCUUAUUGCACUACCUCAAAAGUAACUUAUACAAUAUUGGUUACUGAGAUGAAAUUACUUUUCUUUUGGAGCCAGUUUCCCAGACACAGAUUGAGCCUAAUCCAGGACUGCAUUUACGUACAUUAGAAUGUUGGUGAUUAACAGGAGGAAAAAACACACAUCAUAAAACUUUCCUAGUUAAAUAAAAAAACAGGCCAGCCCUGUGCCCCUCUGAAGAACCAUUUCAUCCACUGGCACAUUGAAUGUUUCCUCUCCAAGCACUUCACAUCCUGUCCUGCCGUUAGUGGAGGAGUUGGGCUCUUCUCCAACAUCAUCCAUCCAUGAUUAUCUUUUAUCUGCACUGAAGCCUCAACACCUCAACCCUGUCCUGCACUGAAGUCAAGCCUCCAAACACCUACUCAUGCCUCAUACAAUCACUGCUGCCCUUCCCAACAGUGAGGCCAUCUUGAUCUCCAUGUCCAGCCUGAGGAAGAAAAUCACAGCCACAUUUCCAGACAAGGCCAACGGUUCGUAACAGGAAGUGGCCACUGACAAACCAUCACUGAAAGGAAGUCAAAAGGACUAAUAAUUUACACCUUUUAUAUACUUCUGGGAUCAAAUGAAUGGACAUUCUGUGCCAUCAGCAUUUUUUAUUCAAGAAUAGAAGAUCACAGCACAAGUGAAGAAUCACGAUAUUCUUGGUGGUACUCCUUGUCUUUUGUAUCUGGUCAGUAGGUGUGUUCCAUCUAUAUCCACUGUUACCCUUUUGUCUUAUGUUUCUACUAUCCCCUGUGUAUAGGACUCCAUGCAAAUUUAAACGUCAUGUACAUGCAUCUUUUUUCAAAUGUUAUUUGUUCUCAAGACACACAUUACAGAACAUUCAUGAAGAAUAACAAGUCAAUCAGCACAAUGCUAACAAUAAAUAACGUGAUACAUUCUUUUGGAUCGUUCAAACUAACAGCUGCAUGCCUCGGGAUGUCACAGAGGUAAAGGGUCAAAGAUGACGAGACAAUGUUAGUCCGUGUCAUGGUUUGACAGGAUAAAAUAAACUCUGCAUCCAGUACAGCACA